rnacentral:rRNA from 1 species
CGCACCUACCGAUUGAAUGUUUCGGUGAAAGAUGCCGGACCCGAACUUGAGCGCUUCACGGCGCACGGGGGAAAAGGAAGUUAUCUAAACCUCAACAUUUAGAGGAAGGUGAAGUCGUAACAAGGUUUCCGUAGGUGAACCUGCGGAAGGAUCAUUA